rnacentral:rRNA from 1 species
AGCGUAGGCGGGAGCCUAAGUUGGGUGUUUAAUUCCGGGGCCCAACCCCGGGCAGGCACUCAAAACUGGGUUUCUUGAAUAGGGGAGAGGUCGGUGGAAUUGGAGGUGUAGCGGUGGAAUGCGUAGAGAUCUCCAAGAACACCCGUUGCGAAGGCGGCCGACUGGACCCAUAUUGACGCUGAGGCUCGAAAGCAUGGGGAGCAAACA